rnacentral:lncRNA from 1 species
AUUCAGUGAUAGUGGCGGUGGAUAACAAUGACCUCCUACCAGCUGUGAAUUUCUCGUCUUCCACUAGUACUAGUAAAAGAGAUUGCUGCUGGCUAAGAAUACCCACCGGUGGGGUCUUGAGCCUUGGAGGAGCCUCCCUCGGGGUCAGGAAUCGAGCGGGGACACCGCUGGGCCACUCAGAAGGACCGUUUCCUGGGGACUGAUCAAGAGGAGGGAAGGUCCUAUUACAGCCCAGAGGCCACGUGGGGCCUGAGCCCCAAACCUCAGCUGCUGUUCCAGCAGCCCCGUAGCUGGGUGGAGCCUCCGGGCCUGACGUGGACCUUCACUGGAGAAGUGACUCAGGUGGGAAAAGUCUCCCCGGGCCUCUCCACCUGCAGGAUCGCCUUCCUACACCUUCCCCCGCCCGCUUCCUUCGCGCGGGCUCCUCCCAAUGACCACCAGCAGAACUGCAGCCUCCUGCCUUA